rnacentral:rRNA from 1 species
CGUUACUCUAGGUGUCAAUUAAAAACUGGGGACUACGAACGUAUGUUUAAAACCGUAAGAUCUUGGCGGUGUGGUGUGACCAGGCAGGGGAACUUGACGCUUAAUUCGAUGAUCCGCGUUUAAUCUCAUCUUUCCUGGUAAAAUCAGGGGUAUAUCGCCGUUAAAGGGCAUAACGAAAUAGGAUAAAAAUGGCUUGCAAUUGGUUGACACCAGCAUAUUCAGGUAAGACGCCCCCAAUGGAAAGAGGUUAGUUGAGUUACUAAAUAAUAGAUGUUUUGGAGGUCGCUAAGGCAGGUCAGGCCGAAAUAGGACUUGCUAGUAAGUAGAGAUUAAAACGCUCUGCUGAAUAGAGAAAUGCCAUGCGUACAAAU